rnacentral:rRNA from 1 species
AAACGUAGGAGGCGAGCGUUAUCCGGAUUUACUGGGCGUAAAGCGCGUGCAGGCGGCUCGGAAAGUUGGAUGUGAAAGCUCCUGGCUUAACUGGGAGAGGUCGUUCAAAACUACCGGGCUUGAGGAUGAGAGAGGGAGGCGGAAUUCCGGGUGUAGUGGUGAAAUGCGUAGAUAUCCGGAGGAACACCAGUGGCGAAAGCGGCCUCCUGGCUCAUUACUGACGCUCAGACGCGAAAGCUAGGGUAGCAAACGGGAUUAGAGACCCCGGUAGUCCUAGCUGUAAACGAUGUAGACUUGGCGUGGGUGGGUUCAAAUCCAUCUGUGCCGGAGCUAACGCAUUAAGUCUACCGCCUGAGGACUACGGCCGCAAGGUUAAA